UUCCAUUUGAGACAUUUCAGACUUGUGCUUCUUACUAUCUAGACAGCAAGAGAGACCCUCCGCUGCUGAGCAGUUCCUGUCCCAUCUCAGUCCCCGAUACUGGGCAUCUCCCUCACAGUUUCCAUCCCAGACCCCCAGAACAACAGGACAGGCUUAGGGAGCCCUACUCUCUUGAACACCAUCAAUGAAGUUCACUGCACCCAUAAUAAAAUAAGUUAUGAGAUUUGAAUAUAAAUAAAGUUUAUAUGGGGUCUAAGAUA